GGAAAAGGCUGUUAGAGUGUCUGGCAGCAGGUCAGGGGCGGGCACUCCGCUCCUCAGUGCAAAGUGCACUGCCCUGGGGGUGGGGGGGGGAGGGAGCAUUUUUAGAGCAAUGGGUUACCACAGGGCGAGUCUGAGAUAAGGAACUUUCACGGUUUCAUCUGCAAUCAGAGCAGCUAGUCUUUCCUUCAGGGGUAAGAGGAGCCGCCCAGGAGAUGAUGCGCCCAGGCACCCGAACUCAUCUUUCUCAUAAAUUGAGUUCUGAGACAGAGAAAGAAACCAGCUUCCCAGAAUGAUGCCCGAAGCCCAAAGGCCUGGUUCCCUCUCCGACUGACACUCUCAGUUCCUUGGCAGUACAAGGCAACAUCUUUGGUGAAAAGGAAAACCUGUCGCUCAGCGUUUACUCAGCAAUAAACAGUGAAAGUUCUUCAUCUUGAGGGGACAGAAGAGAAACAGGAGGCAGACUCCACAAGCCCGGAGGUGAACACAGGAUAACUGUUGGAAGAACACAAGUUAUACUUUGGGUGGAAAUGGAAAUUUGUGAUUCUCCGGGAAUCAAGACUUUUGCUAAUCCUCUGCGCAUUGACUAGAUGGACCUGAAACUACAAAAUAUCUUUCACCGUUGAGUCACUAGUACAUAGAUUCAUCUGGUAAAGGUACUGAGGCAUACAACCUAAAAUAAUGAUCAUAAUUUAUGUGCCCAAAUCGCCCCUCCCAUCCCCGAAAGCCAGCUGAGCUAUUUCCUGAAUCAGAUUUGCACAACUCUAAAGAGGAGGGGAAAAACAAAAGAAACAACACCAACCAACUUCGUGGAAUGCCAUACUUUUCAAGUCAGGCUUUUAAAAGACUAAUGUUAUGCCUCAUUUUAAGACAUUUUCAGUGCUUAGUUUGCUGUCUCCAAUAAUUCACAGUCUGGAAAUGAGUUCAUCACAGGAUAGAAAGGUUAGGUUUUAAUAUCUUAGGGAGUCACUUGGUUACCUGCCCAAAGCUGUGACCCCCCUACUGCUCGUUAAAUCCCCAUGGUCAGCUGAUUUUCUCGCUGCAGUAGUUAAAAGGAAGAACUGAAAUGAUUCUCCUGAGAGGUCUGGGGUCAGGGUGAGUGGCUUUAUUGAUAUUACGGCAGCAAAGGUAUAAUAAAGCAAAAGAAAUCUGAAUUACAAAAUUAUAUUUUUUAAAAAAUCAGGCUGGCCGGGGUCGGUUUCCCACUUUUGAUAUUGGACCACAAUUGUGUCAGAUGUAACCACUGGGGGAAGCUGGAUGUAGGGGAUCUUUCUGUACUAUCUUUGCAACUUCCUGAGACUCUAUAAUCAUUUAAAAAUAAAAAGUGUUUUAAAAAUCA